rnacentral:misc_RNA from 1 species
UCGGUCAGUGUUGUUUUGUCGCUCGUGGUGGUCAGGCGUGUGUGUUGUGCGGAUUCCAAAUUUGGAGUCCUCUUUCAUUUUGACUGUCCAAGGAGAAAUUCCAAAGCUGUCAUUACAGCGCCCUUGGCCGCCAGCACGAUGUUGAAAUUUAUGAAACACCAACAGAAAAUUACUCCUGAACGAAUACAGAAGCAGAAGGAGCUUUUUGACUUCAACCAGUGUUGCCAUCAUGGGUUCCCUGCCAAGCCGUCGGCCCUCGCGUGGGAUCCCCAGCUCCGCCUCCUGGCCAUUGGCACCAAGGCGGGCGAGGUCAGAGUGUACGGGCAGCCGGGCGUCGAGAUGUACGGUCAGCGCGAGGACUCGGAGGCGGCCAUCACCCACCUCACCUUCCUCAAGGGACAGUGCCGCCUGGUGUCACUGUUCGAAGACAACAGUCUACACCUAUGGCAGUUAAACCAACAAGAUGACACUGGUGGCUCGUUGGAAUUAGUUCAUGCUAACUCCACAUGCUUAGAGGGAAAGUUGAAAAAAAUUAGUGUGGUGGUGGCAGACAGCAAGUGUGAACACCUGAUGGUUGGCACAGAGGGCGGCAACAUCUACCUGCUUAACCUGGCAACUUUUGCCAUGUCUGACAAUAUUAUUUACCAAGAUGUAGUCAUGCAGAAUGUUCCUGAAGACUACAAGGUGAACCCGGGCCCAGUGGAAGCUAUUGCAGAGCACCCCACAGAACCUGACAAGAUCCUAAUUGGCUACCAGCGUGGCCUCAUCGUUCUGUGGGACAAGAAGAAUCUUUGUGCUGAUCAGACAUACGUAUGCACUCAACAACUAGAAUCCGUGUGCUGGCACCCGGAUGCAAGCCAGUUUACGACAUCUCACAACGACGGCAGCUAUAUGGUCUGGUCAUCCACUGAAUCAUCUGAGCCUGUUGAUGGACCCCAGACUGUGUAUGGGCCUUUUCCUUGCAAACCUAUUACCAAAAUUCUGAGACCGGCAGCUAAAGAAGGAGAUCUCAUUAUCUUUGGGGGAGGCAUGCCCAGAGCGAGCUAUGGUGACCGCAACACAGUCACUGCCAUGCAAGGAGAAUUUCAUGUCACUUUCAAUCUUACAUCUAGAGUCAUUGACUUUGUUGUAGUGGAUGAUGAUGAAAGCGGCCAAGCAGGCUGCCUGGUGAUACUCGCGGAAGAGGAGGUAGUCUUUAUAGAUCUCAUGACGGAAGAAUGGCCAUCGUUUGCUGCACCUUAUUUGGCAUCACUCCACUCUUCUGCCAUUACCUGUUUAUUCUUGGUUUCGGGCAUAAUGCUGGAUCUUUACGAAAAAAUAAAGGAAGCAGGAGCUAAGCAACAGGUUGGCUUAUCCACACGUCCCUGGCCAAUCAACGGAGGAAUCCUGGCAAAUUCUGACCCGCCCAAACAGCGAGAUCUCCUCCUGACUGGUCAUGAAGAUGGCACUGUACAAUUUUGGGAUGCAUCUGGAGUAUCCCUGACGCACCUGUACAAACUCUCAACGGCAAAGCUCUUUGUGUCAGAGGACCUUGCUGCAGAUGGGGCAGCUGCAGAAGAUGACGAUUGGCCUCCGUUCAGAAAAGCAGGGUUAUUUGACCCUUACAGUGACGAUCCUCGUCUUGGUAUAAAAAAGAUGGAGAUGUGUGCAUAUACAGGGACUCUGGUUGUUGCUGGCACAGCAGGUCAAGUCCUCAUCCUUAAUCUUAACAUGGAAGAGAAGGAACUCGUACCUGAGUGUGUAGAUGUAAAUCUGGUAGCUGAGACCGACAACUUUGUUUGGAAGAGUCAUAGCAAACUGGACAUGCAGACUGAAGCUGUGAAGUUUGAACCAGGGAUGCAGCCCACGGCGGUUGUGCAGUUUUUCCCCCCGGCUUCCUGCACGUCUCUGACCCUAAACAGCGAAUGGGGUCUUGUUGCUUGUGGUACAGCUCAUGGAUUUGCACUCUUUGACAUUAUUCAAAAGAAGAACCUGCUUGCAAAAAGUACCUUAAGCCCUCUAGAUUUAGCCAACACAGCUGAUGAAGGACCAAUGUCUCGAAGAAAAUCCCUCAAGAAGUCUCUCAGAGAAUCAUUCCGUAGAUUACGGCGUGGGAGAUCCCAGAGAAAAACAGGCAAGCCAGGAGCCACGUCUCCAACAGGAGGACAUCCACAAAGUGCUGGAGGUGGAGGGGCGGCAGCAGAUGAUGAUGGGUUGAAGCCCGUGGAGAGAGCCAUUGAAGCGCGCUCACAGACCAGUGACUACAUUGGAUCUAUGGUUCGUUGUUUGCACCUUACAAAAUGCUUCAUUGCCAACACUCAGCUGAUGUCCGCCACCUUAUGGGCGGGCACCAACAGUGGCGCCAUAUUUGUCUUCACUAUUGCCAUCCCACCCUCGGAGAAGCGUGCUGAAAUCCCACUCAGUGUCCAGAUUGGCAAGGAAAUCCACCUCAAGCAUGGCGCUCCUGUUAUUAGUAUAUGUGUGCUUGAUGGGGCGAAUCGACCCUUCCCAGAGCCCAUGGCAGUGAAGAAGGAGGCUGCCCCUGCGCCAAACCCUAGCAUGCCACAUAGAGUGUUGAUAUGCUCUGAAGAACAAUUUAAGGUGUUCACUCUACCACAGCUAAAGCCCUUCUGCAAGUUUAAGCUCACAGCACACGAGGGAUCCAGAGUACGGAAGAUUGGCUACGCAGACUAUGUAUCGACAGCUGAUGAAAGCUACCGGGAAGCAGGCUUUAUGAUAAUGUCUAAUCUUGGUGACUUUUCCUUAUACUCCCUGCCCGAUUGCCGGAGACAGAUGCAGGUGGCAUACAUUAAGCGGGAAGAUAUCAAUGGUAUCAACAGUGUUGUUUUUAGUAAUCGUGGUGAGGCUCUGUAUAUGAUGUCACCUUGUGAGCUGCAGAGAGUGUCACUCUCAGCACGGCACAUCACCAGACCCUGUGGCACUAUACCCAUUGUCAAACCUAUGCCAGUCGAAGAGAAAAUUGAAGAGCCAGCCAAAGAAAAGCCAACAAGUGAAGGCCCUGCUGGAGAGGAUGGAGCAGUCUCUGCAGCCCCAGAGACUCCGGGGGAACCAGCAGCUACUAAUGAAAAAGAGGUUGAAAGUGGACCAGCCAAAGAGGAGAAGCCUGCGGGUGAGGCUGUUGGAGGAACAGUGAACAAGAAGGUGGAAGAAGUGAAGGAGAACGGCGACAGCAGCGUCCUGAGCGGAGACAUCACCAUCGAUUCCAUUCGAGACCACAUAGUCGUCAUCCAUUCAAGUAGUUGAGACGGCGGCAUCAGCAGUCAACCACAGUGCAGUGAAUGGAACAGAGUAACAGUCAACUAAGAAGAGAGCACCAUUAGCCAAGGCUGAGUCAUUCUUCAGCAAGGAGCCAAGAGUCGUGAAAGAAGAAUAAUUGUUGUCAAUAGAUUACAUAAGCCUCACUUUGUAGGACGAAGUACCAGUGAUUGGUAGUUUUAUGAAACCCUUUAUAGGACUUUUUUUUUUCAGGCCCAUUGUUUGCACUUUUAUAUGGAGAAUGCAUUUAAAUGGAAUAGCUAUGUGAUGGGGUUGGACAUUCUUUCAACUUGAAUAAGGUAGAUUAUUACAAGCUAUAUCUUUUCCUCCAUUUUUUUUUCUUUCUUUCUCUCUCUCUUUCUCUCAUUCUUUCAUUCAUUCUUUUUCUCUCAAUAUCUUUUUUUAGUUUCUCUUUCCUUUCUUUCAUUUCUACUGGAGGUAGUUGCUGUUAUUUUUAUAAAGAAAAGCAACAGAGAGAUGUUAUCUGUUUUUGAUUUCGUGAGGUGAUAUUGCCAUGAGACUUAGUGAUCAUGUUUGCUGUUCUUUGAAUAAAGUUGCUGAAGUGUGCAAACUAGGAAGAGGUAUAAAAAGAUGCUAAUAUAGAUACCAGUAAACAGGCCAAAAUACCCAAAUUACUUCUGUAAGUAACUGAAUUGCCAAAUACCUUUUUAUUUCCCUGAAAUGCAAUGCUUUGCAGUCUCAUAUACUUCUAUGGCACCUAUAUACUGUGAACACAUCAGAGCUUUAUAUUUUGUUUAUUGUAUCAUUUCAUUCACCUUUUUGUUUUUGAUAUGAACAAAGAUAAAAUAAAGAUUUAGAUUAAAGGAUUCAAAAGCUUUGGUAGAAGCUCAGUACCUGUGUAUAUAUUACGUUUUUGAAAACAAAAGAAAAAACAAAGCAUUGAUUAUAUUUAACAUUAAUUAUAAGAAAAGCAAUGAUAAUUUUUAUCAUUUAGGACUUUGGUAUUCAUGUAUUGGAUUAAGAUUUGUGAACAAAUUAAUAACAGUAGCAGUUAAUUUGGAGCUGGGCAUUUUUUUCCUGAAUUAAGAUAUAUAUAUCUAUAUGUAUAUAUGUAUACACACAUUCCUCUAUACGAAAAUAUGUAUGUAUGUAUAUGUAUUUUUAUAUGUAGACAUACAAAGUAUUUUUUUGUGUGUUUAUAUAUAUAUAUAUAUAUAUAUAUAUAUAUAUAUAUAUAUAUAUAUAUAUAUAUAUAUAUAUAUAUAUUACACACACAGAUGUGUAUGCAGGCAUAGUUUAGGGUAACAUACUAAUGGACUAAUUUAUCAAUCCUAAAGAAAAUCGAGAGUGAAUAAAUACAAAAAAAUACAAAAAACAUGCAGUCAAACCUAUAAAAAAAAAAUCCUUGCCAGUUACACCAUAGGUUCUGCCCCUCUUUUUUCCAUUUCAUUUCUGUUUGGCAGCUGUUUGCUUUACUCAGAGGGAGAUUGUUCAUUGUAAGAAUGCAAUAUGUCGGCCCUUUCUGUAUAGAACGAGGCUUUGAGGGAAGGGAGAAGAAAUGUUGCAUUAAAGUGAAAUCUGUUUGGAUGUGAUAUGAUUACGUGGCAUGCGGAGACGACUGGUUAGUAGUCCCUGCUGUCACGGGGUUUGAAACGCAGGCUCUUUUAUGAUUUAAUUUGAUUUUUUUUUUUUUUUUUUCUUAUGUUUUAUGGUUUCCCUGAUCCAAUUUUGCCUGUUGGUAGCUGGGAAACGGCUUAGCCUGUCUCCCGUUUCAUAGAGGUUAAGAGAACAUGGAUAUUUAUUUAAUUGUUAAGGAUAAUUAUUUAGUAUUCAUAGUAGUUAUUGUUGAAAUGUAGUUCCACCCUAUAUUUUGUGAGAUAAUUUGUACAAAAUAUUUUCAAUUUUGUAAGAAGAAAUGUGUGGCUUAUAGUGUUAAUGAUACAUGGUAGAUAUAUGGCUUCUGAUAUUGCUAAAGUUACUAAUGAUGUAUUUGGGUGAUGGAAAAAGCUAAACUUUCUUGGAACAUUAUGGAGUGCAUUAAUAUUUGAUAAACCCUUUCACUGUAGUGCAUUCCGUCAUUAAUUCUCAUCAUUUUAGUAUUGGAAGUUUAUUGAAAUUGAAAGAUAGAUAUCUAGAAACUUGUGGGUGGCUUUGAUAGUCUAGAUUAGUUCUUGUAAGAGAAGAUACUAAGUCCAUCCCAAGUUUAACCUGUUUGAUGACGUUUUUCUAAAAGUUGCAUCACCUUGUAUUCCUAAAAGGAAAUCUACAGUGGAAGGACUCAAAACAUUUUUUUUAUUUGAAUAUUCCUACUAUCAGUUUGAUGAGUCUGGCUUCAGUUCGUAAAUACUUUAGGUGUUAUUUAGGCACCACAGAGUGACAGGGAUCUACAAAUCUCUAUUGAAUAAUACUUCGACCAAUGAAAAUGAAUCACCAAUUUUGAUUUUUAUCUUCUAACCCAAUUUGUUUAGGAAAACUGCUCAAAAGGUUCUAUAUAUAUAGGUAUAAAUAAAUAGAUAAAUAUAUAUGUAUGUAUACUAAGAGAGAUAGCCAGAUUAUGAUUCCACGUUUUAUUCCAAUUGUUCAGAGUGGCAAAACUGAUUUUAAGAAUAGAUAAACAAAUGACUAGAAUAAAGUUAAGAGAUUCAUCUUCUGUGACCAUGGAUGACAAGUAGAGAAUACUGCUCUCUGCAUUUGGUGUUGUCAUGAGGAGAAAUACAUCUUAGCAUAUGGUUAACACUGCCCCAGUUCUUUGUUUGUGUAUUAUAGAACUGACUACAUUCCAUGAAUUCAAUACUAGCAUCACAGGGUCACUGUUUCCCUGUCUCUUGUCUAUUUUUUUUUUUUUUUUUUUAUCCUUUUAUUAUGAGUCUGUUCAUAUUUGAUGUGUUUAUCUGUGAAGGGAGGGAGGUAGGCAUGUUCAGCUCAAGAUUUUGAGGUGAAAUAUGUCAUGAUGUUCUUACUAAUGUCAAAAACUGUGUAAAAUUCAUCAUUUAUUUUUGAGUUGUUGAAUUGAUUACUGUUUGGUAUAUAGUUGCUAACUUUUCUGUAGCUCUGUAAUGAUUCUUUUUUUAUAAGAAAGUAUUUAUGCCAGAUAAUGUUAAUCUUUGUUGUGGUAGCUUCCUUGUAUUUUAUGUGUUUGUUGUUUUUUCACUCUUUUCUGCAAGUCUCAAGUGUGUGAAAUGUUGAACAUAUUUUUGUGAACUUCCUUUCAGCAAAGUAAAAGAUGAUGAUAAUUGUGAUUAAUUCACAUAGACUGCAGAUUUGGAAUUUACAUUUUGCUUUAGUUACUGAAGGAAACCAGUGAAAGUGAUAGUCUAUUUAUGUAUAGUUUAUAUGGAAAAUACAACAUAGUUUGCAGAGAGGUUCUUUUAUAAAAACUAGAGAACAGUUAUUUUUCUUCAGUUGUAAAUUGAUAAUUUCAUUUUUACUGUUCAUCAUAUGAGAUGCAUCAUUUGACUUUUUUUUUCAUUUUUCUCUCUUGGUCUUUAAAUGCUGUCUCUGCCUUUUAAAGCUGUUAUUUCUAAACUGUCGCUAUUUUGGAUCUCAAAUAAGUUGUGUAUCAGUGGCCUCUAGUAGUGCUCGAGUAGAUAGUUACUGCCUUCCAUUUCUACCAGGUCAAUAAAUUUACUGUCUGUU